CGCAUCUGUGCAUGCAGCAUAUCAAUAAGCGGAGGAAAAGAAACUAACAAGGAUUCCCUUAGUAACGGCGAGUGAAGCGGGAAGAGCUCAAAUUUGAAAUCUUAAAGGGUUUCCCUUUACGAAUUGUAGUUUAAAGAAGUGUUUUCUGUUGAGGUUUUGGUAAAAGUUCUUUGGAAUAGGACAUCAUAGAGGGUGAGAAUCCCGUAUUUGACCUUUACUUUCAACUUUGUGAUACACUUUCAAAGAGUCGGAUUGUUUGGGAAUGCAGUCCAAAAUGGGUGGUAAAUUUCAUCUAAAGCUAAAUAUUGGCGAGAGACCGAUAGCGAACAAGUACCGUGAGGGAAAGAUGAAAAGAACUUUGAAAAGAGAGUUAAACAGUACGUGAAAUUGUCAAAAGGGAAGCGUUUGACACCAGUGUUGUUUUCUCGAAAAUCAAUUAAAAAGAGUUAGAUUUUGUUGUGUAUUGACCUUAACAGCUUGCAUUUCAAUUUUCUUGCUUUUUUUAAUGCACUUUUCGUUUAACAAGUCAACAUCAGUUUCUUUUGUUGUAAAAAGGUCAUUGGAAGGUGGCUUUCUUUUCGGAGAAAGUGUUUAUAGCCUUUGACUCCUGCAAUCGGAGAGACUGAGGUCUGCAGCGUAGAUCCUUCGGGGUUAGAUACAUUUGUGCUAAGUUAUAGCUUUUUAUAGACAACUUGUUGACUAUGAUUAGUCUUGUAGCUUACUCGCUUAUGCUAUUUUACCUACGCUUAGGAUGUUGAUGUGAUACUACGAGCA
rnacentral:rRNA from 1 species